ACACAUAGGAGGGGCAUCUGGCCAAGAUCAGGAUGGAAAAUUAUUGGUGAGAGGGUGGAGAAACCUUAUAGGAAAUCCUGUUGGAGAUCAGUUCUGUGGGAUUGGGAGAAGAAGAGAAGGAAAAGGCUAAGAGAGUAAAGAGGAGGUUUGGGAAUGACAGAGCAGAAAGAAUUCCAGAGUGAGGAAUGGGGAGGUGAAAACUGAAGCCAGAAGCAGGUGGUGAAGGAGCAAAUCUGUUAGGAUGCACCGCAGGGCAAGAGAGACCAAGAGAACUGAAGGGGUGGCAUGAGGUGGAUUCUGGAUGGAUCAGGAGUCUGGAGCUGAGACAGUCAAAUCCAGCCACUUCAUGAUCUGUGCCGCCCAGGGAAGCCUGCCGUGUGGUUACCUGAAUACCAGAGCUCCAUCGCGAAGGCCCAGGGAAAUGAAGUCACUGUUGGAUCUCAUGGGGCUGUCUCCCCUCCACAGCAGCAGGCCAUCCUUGGCAGUUGUCUUAAACCUCAUGAACGCAUUUGAUCUCGAGCCUGAAACCCUGGAGGAAACACAGAAAUAAUGGCACUUCAUCAAGCAUUCUCCACCAACCUCCUUUUCUGAGUGAUCCCAGUUUGGUCUGUCUGUCCCACUCCCCAUUAUAAAGACUGUCCAGGCUUUUUGAUAUGGAGAUUCAAAGAUAUUGAAAGGGGGCACCCAGAGAUCCAAAGGGGCACCAGCCUUUGGAAUCCCACCCUCAGGACAGCACUGGCUGAGCCGAGCAAGACUCUGGCCAAAGCCACUGCCUGGGCUAUACCCCCAGGCCCCACCUCCAAUUUCCCUGUCCUGCCACUCAAGGGCCUCUUGGUAGGCGGUAGGGUGAGCUCUCUUUCUUGACUGCCUAAGGCUCAAGUUGGCAAUUGUUGAGUUGUGGUACUGACAGAGGAUGUCCACUCUGGCCUCACUUUGAGGUUAAAGAAGAGAUCACCAGAGAGGGCCUCCUGGGCCGAGACCAGUUCAGCAUUUCGGGGGAUGAUGGGGGAAGAAGAAGCAUGAUUUUCUUAUAGAGAAACAGGUGAGGUAGGACUGAAUAAAAUCGAAUCCUACACUAGAGCAGUA